rnacentral:sRNA from 1 species
GCUUGAGGAUGAUCCAAGGCCAGGCGUGGUAGCAUGUGCCUGUAAUCCCAGUGCUUUGGGACACCGAGGCAGGAGGAUCACUUGAGCCCAGGAGUGUGAGGCUGCAGUGAGGCUAGACUUCAGGAAGACCCCCCCAUUUCUGCUCCCCUCCUGGGCUUGGAGAAGAGUACAGCUGCUCUUGACUGGUGGGACCUUUUGCUGGCUGGGGGUGAUGGGAGAAGCAGAGAGGGAUCCACACACCUGUGCUUAGCUUUCUAUGACCUGGGCGGGUGGAAGCCAAAGCUGCUAUCUUGGACGACCCCAUGGAGUGCAGCAGAGGGGAGCGGCUCUCCAUCACCCUGGCCAAGAACCGCAUCAACCGCGCUCCUGAGAGGCUGGGCAAGGCCAAGGUCGAAGUGGACAUCUUUGAGCUUCUCAGAGACAGCGAGUAUGAGACUGCAGAAACCAUGUGUCAGAUCCUCCCCAAGGGGGUGGUCGCUGUCCUCGGGCCAUCGUCCAGCCCAGCCUC